AAAAGCAGUGCCCAAAACCUGUCUAAUUUGUGGUUUGGUGUUCCUCCUCUUCUUGUUUUGAAACCAAGAAAGGAGGAUUAUGGGUGGAUAAAAGAAAAGUGGAAGUAUAUGGAAGAAGAUUUCAUUGUGGUGAACUAAUGUCAAAAACUAUAUUUUUCAGAAACACUAAUUUUGCAUGAAGGCCUUGCUAAAAGAUUAAGAAUCUUUUAGUAUUCCUGAUGUUUCAUGCUUGUAAUGAGCUGCAGCUGUUUUCCCACUGUAGCUUGUGUAUUCUGUACUCCUGUAAAAUGAAAAUAAGAGAAACAAAAUGUAUUUUAAUGCAUAUGUCUCUAAUUGUUUUUCUUUUAUAGAGCUUUUUCUAGCUCAUUGCUGUUACUGUCGUGUUUUACCACUUCUCAUGAUUAAGAAAGAAGUCUACUACAGCAUUUGCUACCAGUAUAGACUCUUCUCCCAGUUUGCCAGGAAAGAAUAUGCUAUAUACUUGUCUUUAUGUGUCUGUUUCCGACAAAUGCAAAUUUAUGUCCUUGAAACCGAAGUUUAAAAAAAAAACAAACCCCAAAAAUAGUGGGGUUUCCUUCUUAACCUUACAUCUGUAGGUUCUGUUAUUUUUCUUGGCUUUUCUAGAUAUUAAUUCCAAAGGCAAUAUUACCUUGCUGAGAAAGCACAGCAGUCACCCUUGAGGUAAAUUGGCUUCUACAUCCACAGGAAGCAAGCAAGAAAAAAUAAGAUUCUCAAGAAAACCAGUGAGAUGAUCAAAAGAAAACUACUUACACGUCAGCAUAUUAUCAGUCAGAGCUUCCAUGUCAGCCACCUUGGGAAGGAAGCAGCAGCAGAUACACUGAAAAGACCCUUCUUUCUGUGAUGCAUGGAUGAGAAGACAUUAUGGAUUCAUAUACGAUUUCUAUAUCCCAGGAGAACUGCAAAGUGACUUUCUUCUUUCUCUAAACCUUGAUUGCUUAGGUACUUCAGCAACACCAACCUUAAAAGAUACUCGCUAGAAAGACAAGGUGAUUUGUCUGAACAAAAUGUGAAUUGUACAGCACAAUGCCUGUAAGUGUCCUGUAAAUUUAUUUUUCUGUAUUUGGAAUUAUGCUAAGUAUAGCAGAAUAGAUGGAUAAAAGGAGAGCUUUAGAGAGGAGGCAAACACUCAGACUUUUAGACAAAUUAAGAUUAUUGGAGAAGUGAUGCAGCAGUAGUUUCAAAAGCAGCAUACUCACAUUUUAAUGGUCUAAAAUACUGCAAAAUAACAUUCAAUAUUUUGUGUUUGUUUAGAAGUUCUUUCUACUUUUUGGAGGUGCAUUUGUUUUUGUUUGUAUUGUGGCUAAGUAAAAAUUAAUUUCCCAAGUUAUAUUAUUGCCUUGUUUUAUAAUGCUUCUGGGACUUUUAUGGACUGAAAAGCUGUAGCAAACUCAAUUUUUUUCCCAGAUCUCAGUUAAUUUUAUUCAUGCAAAAGUUAAAAUCCUUUUUUUUUUUUUUUUUUUUUUUUUUGGUUAAAGCACAGAUGAAACAGUGAAAUACACAAAACUUCCAUGGAAAUAGUGAAAAAGAAAAGUUAUCCUGUCUCUCAGACUUUCAGGAGUGUCUCUGCAGCCCAGUGUUCUGAACACUGACCUGUUCUGAAGUGGGAUUGUGACUCCGUUGAGAAGCCUGUUAAUUUGACAUAGCAUCAUAAUAAAGUGCUUUUUCACUGUAGCAUCUGCACCAAUUCUUGUUAUAACUCAGCUGAAAAACAUAGUAUCAGGCUGUUAGUACACUCAGUGCUUUAAAAAUUACCUUGCACUUUUUUCAUGUAAUGGAAUGAGCUUUGUUGUCCUGAGUUUCUCUAUCAUCUCACUCCCUUAUGUGGGAGAUUUUACUUUAGCAUCUUUCUCCUUUUUUUUCUAUUAUUUUCCAUUUUCAAUGUGAAUGACCCAGCAAUAUGCGCAGCCUUUGUCGGAAGCUGAGCCACCUUCAGGGCACUUUUUUUUUGGACAGGUAUGGCACUACAUUACAGGGUACUUAGAAAUUAACCAAUUUGUAAUACUGCUUGGUUGGGUGACUUUUCAUACUCUCUCUCUCUCUCUCUCCAAAGCAGGGAAUCCUGGCUGAUCUUCUCCUACUCUCAGGAGACUACCAAACAGGGAGAGCCUACUUUUCAGCACCUGAAAGCAUCUCCUUCAGGCUACUGACACGUAAGCACAUCACAAGGGAAGUGCGCUGGACAGGUGCUCUAGAUGUUGUUGACAGCUCCCUAGAAAGUUAUAAUUAUUGGCCCUUUGUUCAACGCAGACUGGGGAGUGUCUAUGCAUUUCCUACGCAUUAUGACCUCUACAAUAAGUACAAUAUUUUUGGCAAGAAUUCCAAAAAACUACUAUCUUCAGUUUCAUCAGGCAAUGGAAAAAUCUGUGUUUGAAUAGCAGAUGUCUGCUGUGAAAUAUUGAGGAAAGGAGAAAAAAAAGCCUCAGGCAGUCUUUAGAAUGGGAAUGUUUAUUGAACAGCUUUUAACAGACUGACCAGUAAGUUUGUUUGAGUUUUUGUUUUUCAUCUUUCUGUCAUCUAUAGCAUAUCUAGUGUAGAAUCAGCCUUGAUAGAAAGGCUGAAAUUUAUUUCUAAUUCACUAUUGCAGAUUUUUUGUGCCUUCCUUCCGUCCUUCCGUCCUUCCGUCCUUCCUUUUUCCUCCCUCCCUCCCUCCCUCCCUUGCUCCCUCCACCCCUCCUGCCCUCCCCACGUGCCCUUUCUUUCCUUUUACUUCUCUAAACAUCAACAUUUAUCCUUGAACUUGUAAGUUAUUAUAUAUCAUAGCCAGUUUAAGGUAACCUUCACUUUAAAUUCCAUGGGUUUUGUUGGCUAAGUCAGUAUUUCGACAGCGUUAUUAGAGUUUUCUUUGUGUGAGUAUUGUCAGGCAGACACUUAGCACAGGUAAGUAUAUUGCAGUUCUACUUGGGGCUUAGCAGUGAAUGUCACCUAUUAGGCCUUUGCAAAAUCCUCACAACUGCUCAGAAAUUCCACUGUAUGGAAAAUUUGUCUAUUGUUAAGCAGAGCUUUAAUUAAAACCAUACUUUGUUUUCAAUCCAAUUUAAGAACAAAUAAUAAAAAAAGGAAGAUGUAAAUUUUACAAUGCCUGGCAAUGUAUCCAAUUCUGAGCUGAACAAAGAAGCUUAUAUGCUGAAAAUCUUGUAGGAAUAAAGCAAGUAAGAUAAAUAAAAAGCUUCCAGUGCUUAAUUCCAAUCGUCUCCACAACAACUGGAGCUGCUGAUAAGACACCUACUCAGAGUAAUGAUGCAUAAUGUGAAGAAGUAAUAACCCAGACUGCAUAAGUAUGAAGAAAUGCCAUUCUUUUAAAGAAAAGUGUGGCAAAUGUGAAGCUAUGUUAAUGUUCUGAGCCAUUUUCAAAGAUAUUUUUGUGAAGACAGAAAAUUGCAGAGGUUUAUUUUUUUUUUUCAAAUGUGAUAGAGUGAACCAGAAACGUAACUAAUAAGAGGGUAUCACGUAUUUGUCCAUGUACUAUCAUGUAAAUAUUUAUGUUCUGUCAGCUCAUUAUUAGUGGAGGUUCUAAUAGGAAUAUAAAUAUUAUAAAGUGUGUUUACAACAGAUAAAUCAUAGGGGUGCUGAAGUAAUUUGCAGCAUUAAAGCUCAUUUUGUAUAAUUACAGAGCCCCAGAAGAUUGUAUUUAUGUAUUACAAAGGAAGGGGAUGUUCAGAGGAAAACUGUUCAGGGCUGCUGACAUUCUGAGGAGGCUGAUCCUGCCUGGAACUGACUUAGGAACAUAUGCAAAUACUAAUGAAGUAUUUUGUGAAUAGAAGGGUAAGAAUCAGCAUAGUUUCAUUGCAAGGCUAACCUUAUUCAUUUAAAUUUCAUGCAGAUGAAUUACUCUAGCUAUUGAAGUAAUGUAAGAAAAGACUAGUUAAGAUUAAGCUGGCAAUAAAGAUACUAAUGUUUUUUUACACUCAGAGUUCUAUUUUGCAUUUUAUGUGGGGGUAAAUUAGAUUGCAAUGCUGUUUAUCCUUGUUUUAUAAAGGCUAUUUUCAUAUUCUUAUUAAAGCUUAUUCUUGCUCUUGCCAUCCUUUCCCUCCUGAUCUCCAUACCCAUUUUACCUAGGCAAACUAAAUACAAAAUGCGUCUUCUUCGUGUUUUAAAUACAGUUAAGAAGAAAAUAAAGCAACCAGUUCUCUCCUCCAUCCUAAAAAGGACUAAGCAGAAGAGACUUUGGAAGGUCAUAUUAUGAUGAGAUUAAAAUGUAGCUCUCUGAGUUUAGCAGCAAAUAAAUGUAGUUCAGUUCUUUUCCAUGAAUGUUUUAUUAAUAAGAUUAAUUUGAAGUGAAACAUAUAUUAUUCUUCUCUGUGACAGGGUAGUCAAUGCCUAUCUGGUAGAUGAUCACUCAAGUAAAAAUCCAUGAGAAGGAAAAUUAUUUUCUGAACAAUAAAGAGCUUAAAAUUAGAG